GCCGAAAUAGCUCAGUUGGUAGAGCAAGUGAUUCGUAAUCAUUGGGUCGGGGGUUCAAGUCCUCUUUUCGGCACCA
rnacentral:tRNA from 1 species